UAACACAUGCAAGUCGAACGAUGAGCCGCUUCGGUGGUGGAUUAGUGGCGAACGGGUGAGUAACACGUGGGCAAUCUGCCCUUCACUCUGGGACAAGCCCUGGAAACGGGGUCUAAUACCGGAUAACACUCUGUCCCGCAUGGGACGGGGUUAAAAGCUCCGGCGGUGAAGGAUGAGCCCGCGGCCUAUCAGCUUGUUGGUGGGGUAAUGGCCUACCAAGGCGACGACGGGUAGCCGGCCUGAGAGGGCGACCGGCCACACUGGGACUGAGACACGGCCCAGACUCCUACGGGAGGCAGCAGUGGGGAAUAUUGCACAAUGGGCGAAAGCCUGAUGCAGCGACGCCGCGUGAGGGAUGACGGCCUUCGGGUUGUAAACCUCUUUCAGCAGGGAAGAAGCGAAAGUGACGGUACCUGCAGAAGAAGCGCCGGCUAACUACGUGCCAGCAGCCGCGGUAAUACGUAGGGCGCAAGCGUUGUCCGGAAUUAUUGGGCGUAAAGAGCUCGUAGGCGGCUUGUCACGUCGGAUGUGAAAGCCCGGGGCUUAACCCCGGGUCUGCAUUCGAUACGGGCUAGCUAGAGUGUGGUAGGGGAGAUCGGAAUUCCUGGUGUAGCGGUGAAAUGCGCAGAUAUCAGGAGGAACACCGGUGGCGAAGGCGGAUCUCUGGGCCAUUACUGACGCUGAGGAGCGAAAGCGUGGGGAGCGAACAGGAUUAGAUACCCUGGUAGUCCACGCCGUAAACGUUGGGAACUAGGUGUUGGCGACAUUCCACGUCGUCGGUGCCGCAGCUAACGCAUUAAGUUCCCCGCCUGGGGAGUACGGCCGCAAGGCUAAAACUCAAAGGAAUUGACGGGGGCCCGCACAAGCAGGCGGAGCAUGUGGCUUAAUUCGACGCAACGCGAAGAACCUUACCAAGGCUUGACAUAUACCGGAAAACAUCCAAAAAUGGUGCCCCCCUUGUGGUCGGUAUACAGGUGGUGCAUGGCUGUCGUCAGCUCGUGUCGUGAAAUGUUGGGUUAAGUCCCGCAACGAACCCAACCCUUGUUCUGUGUUGCCAACAUGCCCUUCCAGUUGAUGGGGACUCGAAAGGA
rnacentral:rRNA from 1 species